rnacentral:rRNA from 1 species
AGUGAACGCUGGCGGUAGGCCUAACACAUGCAAGUCGAACGGCAGCACAGUAAGAGCUUGCUCUUACGGGUGGCGAGUGGCGGACGGGUGAGGAAUACAUCGGAAUCUACUUUUUCGUGGGGGAUAACGUAGGGAAACUUACGCUAAUACCGCAUACGACCUACGGGUGAAAGCAGGGGAUCUUCGGACCUUGCGCGAUUGAAUGAGCCGAUGUCGGAUUAGCUAGUUGGCGGGGUAAAGGCCCACCAAGGCGACGAUCCGUAGCUGGUCUGAGAGGAUGAUCAGCCACACUGGAACUGAGACACGGUCCCGACUCCUACGGGAGGCGGCAGUGGGGAAUAUUGGACAAUGGGCGCAAGCCUGAUCCAGCCAUACCGCGUGGGUGAAGAAGGCCUUCGGGUUGUAAAGCCCUUUUGUUGGGAAAGAAAAGCAGCAGGUUAAUACCCCGCUGUUCUGACGGUACCCAAAGAAUAAGCACCGGCUAACUUCGUG